ensembl:lncRNA
GAAAAAAAGAGAGCUGCUUCAUUUUGGGUUUAGAGGGGAGGCAGCUUGAGGCCUGUAAUUCAUAUUAACUAAAUAAUGCUAAAAAAAAAAACCCCACUCUCCAAAUAUACAGAUAUGUAUAUACACCUCGGGAAGGGAGGGGGGAGGGAAGAGAAUGAGACAGACCAAAAUUGAAAUCAUUUUAUCCUUUUGAAGGGUGAGUAUUUGAAAGGGGUUUGUUAUGGAUUUAUUUUUAUUUUCUUUUAUUAUUAUGUUUUUAUUUGAGUUUAUUUUAUCCCUUUCUCUGCUUGAGCUGGUUGUUCCGUCAAUGAAGAAAGCAAAAUGAAUGUUUUGGAGGUGGAGGAAGAUGGAGGCAACAGAAACGGAAGGAAAAAAAAAAAGGAAAAGAUCCCACACUAUCCUUGCAGAACUGUAGUUACUGUUCUUUCACCUCCUGCCCUAUUCACAUUCACCCUGCUGAGCUACCUUCCUUCCUGCCAGCUGUCUGCUUGGAACAACCUGUCAACCAGCAUCUGCUGGCUCCCAGCACAUCCCUGAAGCGAUGGCAGUGCCAACACUUUGGUUCCUCAAACACAGAGCUAUUCCUCCUGAAGAACCCCAAGCUGUUGACAGGAAACAUGCUUUCUGCUCGUUGCAAACACUGGGGAGUAGAGCAGAGGUCUUUGGAAGUCUUUGUGCGCACCAAAGUGAGGAACCCGUCCAGCUCUCAGCAUCCUUUUUUCAGCACACUGCUGUCCCUAAAGCACCAGCUGCCGUCGCAGGGAGGGGUCACAAGGAAUUAAAGCUUGGGACCAUCUCUUGGGGUCGAGAUGGGAAGGAGUCUUCAUCCUCUGUGUCCCACCAGGGACUGGCCCCACACUGCUGCUGCUUGCCUGUUCCGUGGUGGAAACCCAUGACUCCAUGGCCAUCAUGGGAACCACGCCUGCAGUGCUGGAGGAAAGGCUCCAAAAGGAAGAAACCAUCCCGUUUCCUCUUCAUACUGGAGCAACAGGGAAGGCUGGAAAUAACUGUGAAACCCCAGAAGGUUACUCCAUACUGGAGCUGUGGGGCUGGAUGGUUCAUGGUAAGAGAGCAUCGCCUCCCAAAGCUCACAGUGGUGCCUCACCCUGACACUGACUAGCCAAAUUCCUGCAGGGAGAAGCUGCUGCUGAACAGACUUCCGUGAAUAAAUCUCACUUUGACAGCGAGUCAGACAAAUCCAGUGUUGAGUGACGCUGAUCUGUGACACUGGGAACGAAGAAGGAUGCUUCAGAGGGAAGCAGAACCCCCUCACCAGAUUAAGCCCGACAAACUCCACUGGUGUUGUGGGUCAGAAUCUACAGCAUUAACCAUCGCUAUUACUCGUUUCAGUCUGGCUCUGACCACUUCACCUGGAGCUCUUAUCACUGCAUGCCCUGGGCUGCAGAGUGACACCUUUGAAACUUCCCAAUAGCUGACCAUCCUCACAGCCCUCCCCUUGGUUCAGGCUCACUCACAGCUGGGGUCAUUGGUCAAAAAAACCCAAAAGAGUAGGGCUGGUCCAUCGUCUUGGGGAAAGCCAGCUGCCAGUGUUGGAUAGCAAAAACAGUGAUGACUUUUU